AAAUUGAAGAGUUUGAUCAUGGCUCAGAUUGAACGCUGGCGGCAGGCCUAACACAUGCAAGUCGAACGGUAACAGGAAGCAGCUUGCUGCUUUGCUGACGAGUGGCGGACGGGUGAGUAAUGUCUGGGAAACUGCCUGAUGGAGGGGGAUAACUACUGGAAACGGUGGCUAAUACCGCAUAACGUCGCAAGACCAAAGAGGGGGACCUUCGGGCCUCUUGCCAUCAGAUGUGCCCAGAUGGGAUUAGCUAGUUGGUGAGGUAACGGCUCACCAAGGCGACGAUCCCUAGCUGGUCUGAGAGGAUGACCAGCCACACUGGAACUGAGACACGGUCCAGACUCCUACGGGAGGCAGCAGUGGGGAAUAUUGCACAAUGGGCGCAAGCCUGAUGCAGCCAUGCCGCGUGUAUGAAGAAGGCCUUCGGGUUGUAAAGUACUUUCAGCGGGGAGGAAGGUGUUGUGGUUAAUAACCGCAGCAAUUGACGUUACCCGCAGAAGAAGCACCGGCUAACUCCGUGCCAGCAGCCGCGGUAAUACGGAGGGUGCAAGCGUUAAUCGGAAUUACUGGGCGUAAAGCGCACGCAGGCGGUCUGUCAAGUCGGAUGUGAAAUCCCCGGGCUCAACCUGGGAACUGCAUUCGAAACUGGCAGGCUUGAGUCUUGUAGAGGGGGGUAGAAUUCCAGGUGUAGCGGUGAAAUGCGUAGAGAUCUGGAGGAAUACCGGUGGCGAAGGCGGCCCCCUGGACAAAGACUGACGCUCAGGUGCGAAAGCGUGGGGAGCAAACAGGAUUAGAUACCCUGGUAGUCCACGCCGUAAACGAUGUCUACUUGGAGGUUGUGCCCUUGAGGCGUGGCUUCCGGAGCUAACGCGUUAAGUAGACCGCCUGGGGAGUACGGCCGCAAGGUUAAAACUCAAAUGAAUUGACGGGGGCCCGCACAAGCGGUGGAGCAUGUGGUUUAAUUCGAUGCAACGCGAAGAACCUUACCUGGUCUUGACAUCCACGGAAGUUUUCAGAGAUGAGAAUGUGCCUUCGGGAACCGUGAGACAGGUGCUGCAUGGCUGUCGUCAGCUCGUGUUGUGAAAUGUUGGGUUAAGUCCCGCAACGAGCGCAACCCUUAUCCUUUGUUGCCAGCGAUUAGGUCGGGAACUCAAAGGAGACUGCCAGUGAUAAACUGGAGGAAGGUGGGGAUGACGUCAAGUCAUCAUGGCCCUUACGACCAGGGCUACACACGUGCUACAAUGGCGCAUACAAAGAGAAGCGACCUCGCGAGAGCAAGCGGACCUCAUAAAGUGCGUCGUAGUCCGGAUUGGAGUCUGCAACUCGACUCCAUGAAGUCGGAAUCGCUAGUAAUCGUGGAUCAGAAUGCCACGGUGAAUACGUUCCCGGGCCUUGUACACACCGCCCGUCACACCAUGGGAGUGGGUUGCAAAAGAAGUAGGUAGCUUAACCUUCGGGAGGGCGCUUACCACUUUGUGAUUCAUGACUGGGGUGAAGUCGUAACAAGGUAACCGUAGGGGAACCUGC
rnacentral:rRNA from 1 species